GAUCUGAUGGUGCAGUGGUUAGCACGUCUGCUCAGUAUAUACAUCUAUACUUGCAGUGUUAAGCCGGAGAUCCUCGUUCGACUCGGGGUCAGGUCA